GGACGAACGCUGGCGGCGUGCUUAACACAUGCAAGUCGAGCGGUAAGGCCCUUUCGGGGGUACACGAGCGGCGAACGGGUGAGUAACACGUGGGUGACCUGCCCUCAGCUCUGGGAUAAGCCUGGGAAACUGGGUCUAAUACCGGAUAUGACUUCGCAUCGCAUGGUGUGGGGUGGAAAGUUUUUCGGCGUGGGGAUGGGCCCGCGGCCUAUCAGCUUGUUGGUGGGGUGAUGGCCUACCAAGGCGACGACGGGUAGCCGGCCUGAGAGGGCCGACCGGCCACACUGGGACUGAGACACGGCCCAGACUCCUACGGGAGGCAGCAGUGGGGAAUCUUGCGCAAUGGGCGAAGGCCUGACGCGAGCGACGCCGC
rnacentral:rRNA from 1 species